rnacentral:rRNA from 1 species
AUGCCGGAAACAUUACACAAGCAUAAAGCCAGUGAAGAUGGCAAACAAAGUGUUGAAGCUGUGGAGGCCCAUCUGAUUGAUCCGCAAGAAAAGGUCGAAGGAAGUACCAGUGUAGAUACCAAGAAGAGCUUAUUCAAGAAUUGGCCAUUGAUGUCUUCCAUAAUUGUUUAUUGCAUCUUCUCCUAUCAUGACAUGGCCUAUACAGAGGAGGAUGCCCGAGCUGACCAGGAGGACACCCUUCUGCACCUCGGCCACCACACAAGGUUAACACUUGGAGACUCUCGAGCUAUGAGCAGCGAGCUGUUGCUGCCGCCGCCGGAUGCUCCAGCGGCGAAACCUCCGUCGAUUCCCUCCACGGCCACUACCACUACCCUAGCUACCGCCGCCGACGGAACCACCACCAUAUCCUUGCUCGGCCAAGACCAGCUCCUUGAGAUCUUCCUCCGCCUGCCGAGCCUGCCGGCCCUCGUCCGCUCCACGCUCACUUGCCGCUCGUGGCUUGGCGCCGUCCGCUCCUCUCGCUCCUUCUGCAACCUCUUCCACGCCCUCCACCUAGCGCCCCUCAUCGCGAUCUUCCUCGAUGUCGACGAAGGCAAUGUCCGCUUGUUCGCCCCCUUCAGCCGCUCAGAUCCCAACGUCAAUAAGGACAUUACAUUGGGAGAUUAA